UACGUAGGGUGCAAGCGUUACUCGGAAUCACUGGGCGUAAAGCGCGCGUAGGCGGUUUGUUAAGCCGGAUGUGAAAUCCCAGGGCUCAACCCUGGAACUGCGUCCGGAACUGGCGAACUAGAGUCCCGGAGAGGGAGGUGGAAUUCCCAGUGUAGCGGUGGAAUGCGUAGAUAUUGGGAGGAACACCUGAAGCGAAAGCGGCCUCCUGGACGGCGACUGACGCUGAGGCGCGAAAGCGUGGGGAGCAAACAGG
rnacentral:rRNA from 1 species